rnacentral:rRNA from 1 species
AUGGGCGGCAGCUCCACUGCUGACGAGCGGCUCCUCCUUGUUGUGCUGCUCAUGUCCCCGGUCCCUUGCUCGCGCCCGCAGCGGCCACCCACUCUAGUGCGGGAGUUGGGCAAGUUUUGGGCCGCCGCUACUCCACCGCCACCCGCGGAGUUCCAAACAAAAUGCCUGUACAAUCAGACUGCAGAGUUGCUAGAUGCUAGAUGGAGUAGGAUGAACUUCGUUGAGACCUGUCCGGCCCACCUCUGGGAAGAGCAGCCCUCAUGGAGUUGCUCUACAAGCCAGAACAGAGAUAGGGGGACAAUAGAGUUGCAGCCGGUCAAAGUUACUAGACCUGUGUGCAAAGAUUACCUGAUCACUAAUGUAAUCCCUGCAAUUCAAGACAAAUGGCCUGACGGUGACAAGGACAGAACGAUCUUCAUUCAACAAGAUAAUGCAACACCGCAUGUCCUCCCUAAUGAUGCUAGUUUUCUAGAAGCCGUGGCACAGACAGAUCUGGAUAUUCGACUAUUGCAACAACCACCAAACAACCCUGAGCUCAAUGUUCUAGAUCUUUGUUUCCACAGCUCCCUCCAAUCCCUAACCAACUGCAGAGCGCCUAUGAAUAUACAAGAACUGGUACAGGGUGUAGAGGAGGAGUUUGAGAACUACGAUCCCCAUAAGCUGUUCAAAAGCUUUAUGACGUUGCAAGCAGUCAUGGUGGAAGUGAUGAAAGACCAAGAAGGAAACAACUACAAGAUGCCACUUCUGCAUAAGGAACGUCUACAAAAUGCUGGAGAGGAAAUAAUCGGUGUAUACUGCAGUCCUGGGCUAAUUACUGACACCAAGGCCAUUAUAGAACAAGGAAAUGAGUAG